rnacentral:tRNA from 1 species
GCGGAUAUAGUUCAUCGGUAGAACACGUGCUUCCCAAGCAUGAAAGGUGGGUUCGAUUCCCAUUAUCCGCU